CCUCGGCAGUUGGGCCCGCGCCGGGGGGGCGGUGCGGGGAGGGCGCCGCCGAGCGGCCAGGCCCAGCCAGCCUCAGCUGCCUCCCGCCUCCUGCCUUCGACCCCUGGGCCCAGACCCGCGUCCCCACCGGCCCUACGCGCCGCGUCUCACGGGACCCUCACUUCUAACGGGAUAGCAUUCAAUCCAGAGCGUUGGUGUGAGGAUACAUAAGUCAGUGCUUGUGAAGCCCACGGAACACUGCUGGAGACCUAGGGACAUGGGCUGGAUCCCUGGUCCGGGAAGAUCCCACAUGCCGCGGAGCAGCUAAGCCUGAGCGCCACAACUACUGAGCCUGCACGCCACAACUACUGAAGACCACGUGCCUAGAGCCCGUGCUCCGCAACAAGAGAAGCCACUGCAAUGAGAAGCCCGCACACUGCAACGAAGAAUAGCCCCUGUUCGCCGCAACUAGGGAAAGCCUGCGUGCAGCAAUGA